rnacentral:tRNA from 1 species
AUUAAUUGAAGCCAAAUAGAGGCAUAUCACUGUUAAUGAUAUAAUUGAAUAACUUAUUCCAAUUA